UCUACGGGAGGCAGCAGUGGGGAAUAUUGGGCAAUGGGCGCAAGCCUGACCCAGCAACGCCGCGUGAAGGAAGAAGGCUUUCGGGUUGUAAACUUCUUUUGACAGGGAAGAGUAGAAGGCGGUACCUGUCGAAUAAGCCACGGCUCACUACGUGCCAGCAGCCGCGGUAAUACGUAGGGGGCCAGUGUUGUCCGGAUUGACUGGGUGUAAAGGGCGUGUAGCCGGGUUGACAAGUCUGAUGGGAAAUCCUGCGGCUUAACCGCAGAACUGCAGUUGAAACUGUUGAUCUUGAGUACUGGAGAGGCAGACGGAAUUCGUAGUGUAGCGGUGAAAUGCGUAGAUAUUAGGAGGAACACCAGUGGCGAAGGCGGUCUGCUGUACAGCUACUGACGGUGAGGCGCGAAGGUGUGGGGAGCGAACAGGAUUAGAUACCCCAGUAGUC
rnacentral:rRNA from 1 species